rnacentral:rRNA from 1 species
GCGCACGCUGGCGGCAGGCCUAACACAUGCAAGUCGAACGAACUCUUCGGAGUUAGUGGCGGACGGGUGAGUAACACGUGGGAACGUGCCUUUUUGUUCGGAAUAACUCAGGGAAACUUGUGCUAAUACCGAAUGUGCCCUUCGGGGGAAAGAUUUAUCGCCAUUAGAGCGGCCCGCGUCUGAUUAGCUAGUUGGUGAGGUAACGGCUCACCAAGGCGACGAUCAGUAGCUGGUCUGAGAGGAUGACCAGCCACACUGGGACUGAGACACGGCCCAGACUCCUACGGGAGGCAGCAGUGGGGAAUCUUGCGCAAUGGGCGAAAGCCUGACGCAGCCAUGCCGCGUGAAUGAUGAAGGUCUUAGGAUUGUAAAAUUCUUUCACCGGGGACGAUAAUGACGGUACCCGGAGAAGAAGCCCCGGCUAACUUCGUG